rnacentral:lncRNA from 1 species
GGUCGCCAACCACCAGACCAGGCUGCCCAGAGCCACAUCCAGCCUGGCCUUGAAUGUCUUCAGGGAUGGGGCAUCCACAACCUCCUUGGGCAACCUGUUCCAGUGUGUCACCACCCUCUGUGUGGAAAACUUCCUCCUAAUGUCUAACUUAAACCUCCCCUGUCUCAGUUUAAAACCAUUCCCCCUUCCUACUGUGAUUCCUAGUGAUUCCUAUCACUAUCCACCCUCUGAAGUGAGGACAACUGUUCAAAGAGCUGGUUUGGAAGAUACCUGAGUAGAUGGAACACUCCCUUCCAUGUGCAGGACUCCAGUCUCUAACUUUUCAAAGUGUACAGUUAAAAAAAAAAAAAAGCAACAAGAGGAAUAAGAAUCUACAUAAUCUACAUAAUCUACAUACGUACUUAGCCUAGUUUUGUAAGCAGAGGACAUGCUCUUCUGCAACUUUGUUCCUCUGCGAGUCCAUUGCUUCACUCAGAUAAAGAGGAAGAGCCUUCAGAGACAAUGAAGUUCACAUGAGCUUUGUGAAAAUAGCCUGAAAAUAGCCUGUUGGAGGUGGAAGGGUGCUGGCUGUUCACAGCUGGAGGACCAGAAGCAGGAUACCCCAUCCCUGGAGGCAUUGAAGGCCAGGCUGGAUGUGGCUCUGGGCAGCCUGGUCUGGUGGUUG